CCUACGGGUGGCAGCAGUGAGGAAUAUUGGUCAAUGGGCGCGAGCCUGAACCAGCCAAGUCGCGUGAGGGAAGACGGUCCUAUGGAUUGUAAACCUCUUUUGUCGGGGAGCAAAAGACGCCACGCGUGGCGUUCCGAGAGUACCCGAAGAAAAAGCAUCGGCUAACUCCGUGCCAGCAGCCGCGGUAAUACGGAGGAUGCGAGCGUUAUCCGGAUUUAUUGGGUUUAAAGGGUGCGCAGGCGGAAGAUCAAGUCAGCGGUAAAAUUGAGAGGCUCAACUUCGGAAUUGCCUCUGAUACUGUUCGGCUAGAGAGUAGUUGCGGUAGGCGGAAUGUAUGGUGUAGCGGUGAAAUGCUUAGAGAUCAUACAGAACACCGAUUGCGAAGGCAGCUUACCAAGCUACUUCUGACGUUGAGGCACGAAAGCGUGGGGAGCAAACAGGAUUAGAUACCCCAGUAGUC
rnacentral:rRNA from 1 species